rnacentral:rRNA from 1 species
CUUGACGAUCAUAGAGCGUUGGAACCACCUGAUCCCUUCCCGAACUCAGWAGUGAAACGACGCNAUAGGCUGGGUGUGUAAGCGUUGUGAGGC